AAGGAAGGAAGAAAAAAGAAUGGAAGGAAGGAAGAAAAUAAGAAAAUAUGAUUUCCUUGUGAAACUAUACCACCAUCCCUGAAGUGUAAAUAGCCACAACCAGGUUGAUGGAUGUUGAAUGUUCCACUUCUGAGCCAAGAUAAACAUACCGUGUUUAAUUUCUGAAAAUUGCAAGAUUUCUAAUCAUGGGAUGAGGAUUUAUUUAUAUUCUUUAUUAAGCUCAUCCAUUAUGUAAUCAUGAAGGAGGGACAAGAAAAAGAAUAUAAAAUACUAAACCCAGAGCAGCAUGGAAAAAUACCAUCUCACAUCCAAAUAGCACUGAUUCUAAAAAGCAUGAUAACAAAAUGAAUUAUGACUGAAGAAAAGGUAAAGGAUUACAACCAAACAAGCAGAACAGCUUUAAUGGGAGUGAUUCCCUAAAUCAUCUAAUGGAAGUGAAGCAAAAGAGAAGGACCAAAAUUAUGACUAUGUGAACAGUCUCCCACCCAUCAGAAGCCCUCCUGUGAACUGCAUUUUCAGGCAUCCACUGGAGUCUUGGAAUGUAUCCCCACAGAUAAGGGGGUUCCCUUGAAGAAGAAAUUAUGUUUCUAUUCCCUUACUUGAAUGACCACCGUGAAGAUACACUGAAAAUCUAGCACCCUGGAGGAGUAUAAAAUCCUAUUCAGUUGCUAAUCUUCCUGUCAUGGAAGUUGCUUGCCAGCUCUAAUUUUGAGUGAACACAUU